rnacentral:rRNA from 1 species
GACGAACGCUGGCGGCGUGCUUAACACAUGCAAGUCGAACGGUGACGAGGAGCUUGCUCCUCCGAUCAGUGGCGAACGGGUGAGUAACACGUGAGUAACCUGCCCCAGACUCUGGGAUAACAGUUGGAAACAGCUGCUAAUACCGGAUACGAGACGGAGAGGCAUCUCUACCGUCUGGAAAGUUUUUCGGUCUGGGAUGGACUCGCGGCCUAUCAGCUUGUUGGUGAGGUAAUGGCUCACCAAGGCGACGACGGGUAGCCGGCCUGAGAGGGCGACCGGCCACACUGGGACUGAGACACGGCCCAGACUCCUACGGGAGGCAGCAGUGGGGAAUAUUGCACAAUGGGCGAAAGCCUGAUGCAGCGACGCCGCGUGAGGGAUGACGGCCUCGGUUGGUAACGUAC